CCUACGGGGGGCAGCAGUGAGGAAUAUUGGUCAAUGGGCGCGAGCCUGAACCAGCCAAGCAGCGUGAAGGAUGACUGCCCUACGGGUUGUAAACUUCUUUUAUAAAGGAAUAAAGUGAGGUACGUGUGCCUUUUUGUAUGUACUUUAUGAAUAAGGAUCGGCUAACUCCGUGCCAGCAGCCGCGGUAAUACGGAGGAUCCGAGCGUUAUCCGGAUUUAUUGGGUUUAAAGGGAGCGUAGAUGGGUUGUUAAGUUAGUUGUGAAAGUUUGAGGCUCAACCGUAAAAUUGCAAUUGAUACUGUCAGUCUUGAGUACAGUUGAGGUAGGCGGAAUGUGUGGUGUAGCGGUGAAAUGCUUAGAUAUCACGAAGAACUCCGAUUGCGAAGGCAGCUUACUAAGCUGCCACUGACAUUGAUGCACGAAAGUGUGGGGAUCAAACAGGAUUAGAUACCCGGGUAGUC
rnacentral:rRNA from 1 species